CUCCUACGGGAGGCAGCAGUGGGGAAUAUUGGACAAUGGGCGCAAGCCUGAUCCAGCAAUGCCGCGUGUGUGAAGAAGGCCUGCGGGUUGUAAAGCACUUUCAGUAGAGAAGAAAAGCCUAGGGUUAAUAGCCCUGAGUCUUGACGUAACCUACAGAAGAAGCACCGGCUAACUCCGUGCCAGCAGCCGCGGUAAUACGGAGGGUGCGAGCGUUAAUCGGAAUUACUGGGCGUAAAGCGCGCGUAGGCGGCUCUGUAAGUCGGAUGUGAAAGCCCUGGGCUUAACCUGGGAAUUGCAUUCGAUACUGCAGAGCUAGAGUAUGGUAGAGGGAAGUGGAAUUUCCGGUGUAGCGGUGAAAUGCGUAGAUAUCGGAAGGAACACCAGUGGCGAAGGCGACUUCCUGGGCCAAUACUGACGCUGAGGUGCGAAAGCGUGGGGAGCGAACAGGAUUAGAUACCCUGGUAGUCCACGCCGUAAACGUUGGGUACUAGGUGUGGGGUCUUAUCAACGGAUUCCGUGCCGAAGCUAACGCAUUAAGUACCCCGCCUGGGGAGUACGGCCGCAAGGCUAAAACUCAAAGGAAUUGACGG
rnacentral:rRNA from 1 species